GACCUGCUGGGGACUAGCCUUAUUGCAUUCAGUGUAUUCCAGGGAGCAAGGAUCAUUUUCUUCUGCCAGCAUGCUUUCUGCCACCUGUUCCAUUCUUGUGAUCUUAAUAGUCAGAGGGACCAGUGGAGACUCAGUGACCCAGACAGAAGGCCCUGUUACCCUGCCAGAGGAGAAAACUUUGACACUGAACUGCACCUACCAGACCACCUACAGUACUACAGAAUAUCUUUUCUGGUAUGUCCAGUAUCCAAAAAAAGAGCCUGUUCUUCUCCUGAAAAGCUCAUCGGAUAAUCAGGAGGUCCACAACAGAGGUUUUCAGGCCAAACUUGUGAAGACUGAGAAAUCCUUCCACCUACAGAGACCUUUAGUGCGAAUGGCAGACUCGGCGGUGUACUUCUGUGCUUUGAGUGACACAGUGCGGGAGUGCACAGGGGGAGCUGAGCACAAACCCAGAGGGGCUCACACGGGGCUGCAGGGGAGCAGCCUGGCUAUUCUGGGAGCCACAGGGAGAUUCUCUGGCUGUUCUCCAGAGGCAUACAGGUAUUUGACAGGGAAGUGGAGAUUAUAUUUUCCAAAUACAAACAAAAAUACUUGUUAUGGCAAAUAUGUCUACUAA